rnacentral:rRNA from 1 species
UACGUAGGUGGCAAGCGUUGUCCGGAAUUAUUGGGCGUAAAGCGCGCGCAGGCGGCCUCUUAAGUCUGAUGUGAAAGCCCCCGGCUCAACCGGGGAGGGUCAUUGGAAACUGGGAGGCUUGAGUAUAGGAGAGAAGAGUGGAAUUCCACGUGUAGCGGUGAAAUGCGUAGAGAUGUGGAGGAACACCAGUGGCGAAGGCGACUCUUUGGCCUAUAACUGACGCUGAGGCGCGAAAGCGUGGGGAGCAAACAGG